rnacentral:lncRNA from 10 species
CUGCAACUCCAUCCGUACCGAACACUGCCGCGCCCCGCCCCCUCACACAGCCCGGCGCCCGCCUACCCCCGCAACGAGAGUAGAGGGCGCAUGCGCAAUGACGUUCGCCCUUAAUUUCUCGCCCCUUACCCCGCAGCUUACCUCCGGCAUCUCGCAGGGGAGGCACGCCUGCGCAGUCACGCCCGCCCUCGGCCCCAGUCAGCGAUUUGGGUCUCGGAGCACCAAGGAGACGGUGGACGGAAUCUGACCAGGCUUGGUGGCUACGAUGGCCUGAAGCGUGCCUUUUGGGUUCUCAGCUCGGGCUCACAAGUGUUUUCUGUGCUAAAUACAAAAAGCCCUGUGAUGUUUUGCUUUGCGUGUCCACCUAUCUGACUCGUAAGAACCGAGGCUGAAUCCAGACCCACACUCUGUCACGUCGGGAGAGCCUGCCGCGGCGAGCCUCUGCGAGCGGGCAUUUCUUGGGUGGGGACCAAAAGCCCAGUGCUGCCAUAGUUUCGGAUCAUUCUUUUAAGAAGCUGGGGCCGGGCGCGGUGGCUGGCACCUGUAAUCCCAGCACUCUGGGAGGCUGAGGCGGGCGGAUCCCUUGAGCCCAGGAGUUCGGGACCAGCCUGGGCAACAUGGUGAAACCCCCGUCUCUACAAAAAAUUAACCGGUGUGGUGGUGUGCGCAUGUAGUCCCAGCUACUUGGGAGGCUGAGGCAGGAGAAUCGCUUGAACCCAGGAGGUCGAGGAUGCAUUAAGCAGUGAUCGCGCUCCAGCCUGGGCGACCGAGGGUGAUACCUUGUCUUAAAAAAAAGGUGGGAGAGUGGAACGAAAACUUGGAAUAAGUAGGGUCAUGGAGCUUGUUUACAUCCCCUAGUUACAGCACAUCCUUUUGAAAGUGAAAAACAAACUGGAAUGUUACUUAGUGGGCAUGGAAUCGAAGCAACGGAAGGUUAAAACUGUUUUUAUCAAGGCCAGGCGGGCGCGGUGGCUCACGCCUGUAAUGCUAACACUUUGGGCGGCCAAGGCUGGUGGAUCAUCUGAGGUUAGAAAUUCGAGACCAGUUGGGCCAACAAGGUGAAACCCCCGUCUCUACUAAAAAUACAUUUUAUCAACAGAAUUUCGAAACUUUUAUAUAAUAGAAUAAUUACAAUGAACUUUCAUAAAGAACUUGAGCAUACCUGGAUUUUGGUAUCCGUAGGGGUCCAGGAAUUAUCCCCCUUGGAUAAUAACGGAGGGCUGUACUCAUCAUCCAACUUCAACAACAGUUUGCUGCCUUUCUCAUUUCAUGUAUCCCUUUCUGCAUUUUUUUUUGAAGUGCUGUAUAUUAAAGCAAAUCCUGGACAUCAUGUCAUUUCACCUAUAAAUACGUCAGUGUGUGUCUCUAACAGAUAAGGACUUUAUACUAUUAUCACACCCACCAAAAUUUUAAAAAUUAUUUAACAUCACUU